AUAGGCUGUAUAGGCGUUUAGAUGUUGCAUUAGAUUGAACACGUUGUCGUUUCAGCGAAGAGCUUCAAUAUUUUUGGGGAACUAAAGAAUCAGCAAUUUUAAGAUACUACGUUACUCCAGUUCAUACCAAUAAUCUGGUUUCAAGCAUGUCUUCCAGAGCUAUUGUCUUCGUUUGUAUUCUGGUAGCUUUCGUUUCGAUCACGAGUGCUCGUGUGAUCGAUACCAAUGGCGAUCAAGAGGCUAUCGAAAAAAAUGCAAUGGACUUGGUGAACGACAAUUUGGCAGCUCACAUUCUCAGAGCUGUGAAACGCAGUGCUGGAUACAGGACAGGCAAUGAUUGCUGCACCUCGUGUAGUAAUGGGUGCUAUUGCUGCUACGCCUGAAGAACCUCUGGCAAAUAUACAUCAUCGUGGAAUUUAAUCACUUUUUUAUAUCUUUUUUAAUCAAAUUUUCUAGUAAAAUCAUGAAGGGUAUGGGUAAGGUCAACGAUUGAAUAUUUAGAGGAGAGUGAAAUGGAUGUUUGCAUUGUAUAUAUAUAUAUAUAUAUAUAUAUAUAUAUAUAUAUAUAUAUUAUACA